rnacentral:piRNA from 1 species
GGGAAGACACUGAUGUGUGGAAUUCA